rnacentral:rRNA from 1 species
GUGGGGAAUAUUGGACAAUGGGGGGAACCCUGAUCCAGCCAUGCCGCGUGUGUGAAGAAGGCCUUUUGGUUGUAAAGCACUUUAAGUGGGGAGGAGGCUUACCUGGUUAAUACCUGGGCUAAGUGGACGUUACCCACAGAAUAAGCACCGGCUAACUCUGUGCCAGCAGCCGCGGUAAUACAGAGGGUGCAAGCGUUAAUCGGAUUUACUGGGCGUAAAGCGCGCGUAGGUGGUUAAUUAAGUCAAAUGUGAAAUCCCCGAGCUUAACUUGGGAAUUGCAUUCGAUACUGGUUGGCUAGAGUAUGGGAGAGGAUGGUAGAAUUCCAGGUGUAGCGGUGAAAUGCGUAGAGAUCUGGAGGAAUACCGAUGGCGAAGGCAGCCAUCUGGCCUAAUACUGACACUGAGGUGCGAAAGCAUGGGGAGCAAACAGGAUUAGAAACCCCUGUAGUCC